rnacentral:rRNA from 1 species
AUUGAACGCUGGCGGCAGGCCUAACACAUGCAAGUCGAACGAGUGGCGGACGGGUGAGUAAUGUCUGGGAAACUGCCCGAUGGAGGGGGAUAACUACUGGAAACGGUAGCUAAUACCGCAUACCAUCAGAUUUGCCCAGAUGGGCUUAGCUGGUUGGUGGGGUAACGGCUCACCAAGGCGACGAUCCCUAGCUGGUCUGAGAGGAUGCAGGACCACACUGGAACUGAGACACGGUCCAGACUCCUAGGGGAGGCGGCAGUGGGGAAGAUUGCACAAUGGGGGAAAGCCGGAUGCAGCCAUGCCGCGUGUAUGAAGAAGGCCUUCGGGGUGUAAAGUACUUUCAGCGGGGAGGCGUUACCCGAAGAGGAAGCACCGGCUAACUCCGUGCCAGCAGCCGCGGUAAUUC